rnacentral:rRNA from 1 species
AUGAUAAUUAUGCUUCUAAUGCCUAUGUUAAAUCAUAUAUUGAGGACUCCUCCGCUGUCCAAGAAGAGACUAAUAUUCUGCAGGAGUCUAUGGAAGAAGGAAUUGAUGAAACUGUGGGCUCAUUGGAUGAAAAAGAUGAUGAGGAGAGCGAAGAACAAAAGGAGGAAGAGUGGAUUAGAUACCCGUGCCCACCUUCUAAUGAUAGUAACUCUUCAACUCAUACAUUGUUUAAUUUCCCUUCGCCUACCGAAGGAUGAUUGCUAUGAUGAUUGUUAUGAUCCCAUUGAUUCUUUUGAAAUAUCCCUUUUUGAUGAUGCUUGCUAUGCUUGUGGACAAGAUGCCAAUAUGAAUUAUGCUUAUGGAGAUGAACUUGGUAUAGUUACUUAUGUUAAAAUGAAAUUGUUGCUAUUGCACCCACACAUGAUAGUCCUAUUAUCUAUUUGA